AGCAGUCGCGCGGGAAUACGAAGGGUGCAAGCGUUAAUCGGAAUUACUGGGCGUAAAGCGUGCGUAGGCGGUGAGUUAAGUCUGCUGUGAAAUCCCCGGGCUCAACCUGGGAAUGGCAGUGGAUACUGGCUCGCUAGAGUGUGUCAGAGGAUGGUGGAAUUCCCGGUGUAGCGGUGAAAUGCGUAGAGAUCGGGAGGAACAUCAGUGGCGAAGGCGGCCAUCUGGGACAACACUGACGCUGAGGCACGAAAGCGUGGGGAGCAAACAGGAUUAGAUACCCGAGUAGUCCCUGUCUCUUAUACA
rnacentral:rRNA from 1 species